rnacentral:rRNA from 1 species
UAGGACGGCCAUAGGAGCCGGGUUCCACCUGGUCUCAUUCGAACCCAGCAGUUAAACCGGCUUCCGUCGCGGCCUGUACUCCGUUAUGGGGGAAAUCCGCGAAGCUGUCCACC